rnacentral:lncRNA from 1 species
UCCCUGGUAGCUCAUCAGGAAAGACGUUCGGGUACUCACAGACUAUCGGCACUCGGUCCAGCUCUUCUCUCGACAGGUUGUUAACCUGCGGUACACGGGUGGAUACUCGCUCAGAGACAUACUUGACUUUGACCCCUUGGUCGCUCAUCAUGGUAAUAGCCCUGUUGGCAUAGUCCAAGAUGCUCUGGUGUUUGGCCAACCAAUCCAUGCCGAGAAUUACUUCUAGGCCUUGAGACUUGAUGACGAUGAGAUCUGUUGAGAAGGUUAUCCAAUUGAUGACAAUCCCGAGUCCUCUACACCCUAGGUUGGUCCUUAACACUGCUACCGGGGUAUGUACUGCAAUUUGCCCGUUAAGCAGGGUAGGCUUCAAGCCAUACUUUUCCCCAAAUCUUUGGGUAACAAAAGAAGGUGAAGCACCACAAUCAAACAAUAUUGUUGUUGGGGUGGAGUUGACGAGUAACGUACCCAGAAUGCAGUUCGGGUCUUCCUGCGCCUCUUCUGCGAAGAUGUGGUUUAUACGUCCCCUGCUGUGAUACUGCUGAUUGUGGGGUGCUUGGUUCCUUCCUAGUGCUAUUUGCCCUUGAUUUGGAACAUUGGGGCGCGGUGCGUCGGGCUUCUUGUUUGGACACUGCAUGGAAUAGUGCCUAGUCUGUCCACAUCCAAAACAGGUAACUUGUGCUGGAAGGUUGGUCUUGACUCCACUGUUGUUCGGUGGGUUGAAUGUUGGCUUGGUGUUGACUUGCUGCUGAGGCUGGUAGUUCUAUCGAAAUGUUGGAGACUUGUACUGUUGCUGCUGAUAACUAGGUCUUGCUGGAGCUGACUGCCAUGGGCAUGGCUUCGUAUUACUAGGUCCUCCAAUACCCAUCAGCUUGCGCUUACGCGUGUCGUCCAUUGCACGACGCUUAUCCUCCAACAUAAGGGCCUUAUUAACUAGAUCGCUGAAGGUCCGACAUUCACAAACAACCAGUUGAUACUGGAGUGACUCCUCCAAUCCUUCCAUAAAGUGUUCCACUUUAGCGGCCUCAGUGUUGACAUCCUCUGGUGCAUAUCUAGACAAGAGGUUGAACUUCUGCAAAUAUUCCUUGAUGCAUCCAGUGCCUUGCCUUAGAGCUCGGAAUUCCCGCUUCUUAAUGGUCAUCAUUCUGGGAGGAAUGUGAGCAGCACGGAAUCCCUCCUUGAACAUAGCCCAAGUGAUGACCUACCCGGCUCGCAUGAUCUAGAAUCCAUCCCACCAAGAUCUGGUUGUGCCCCCCGAGAUAGUGAGAAUCAUAGAGGACUUUCUCACGAUCAUCAGUGCACUUGACCAGCGCAAGGAGGUCUUCGAUAGUAUGGAUCCAGUCAUCAGGAUCCAAUGGUUCAGUCAUCUCUGUGAAUAUAGGUGGCGUAGUCCGCAUAAACUCAGAUAGAGUAGAGCGACUGUUGCCAUUCCCAUUCUGUGGCGAGUUGUUCACCAAUACUUGAGCCAGAUGCUGAAUAGAGGCAUUAUUGGCUUGACGUUCUGAUACGUCUCCAUCAUAUCUACUUUUCCAAAAUCUUUUGUCCUUGUUUUGGACUCUAAUUUGCAUGAUUUGAAUGGAACUAACCCGGAUUCACGCUGUUUUCAGCAGAAUUGCCAUGGUGUUGUUUUUGUGCAGAAAUGAAAGUUCUCGGAACGUCCUGAAAAUUUACGGAGAAUAUUUCUGGAAAAUAUGAAAAAUACCUGCGCAAAGAUCCACCGGAGGGGAUGGGCCAGUGGGCCACAAGCCCUGUGGCCGUGGCCACCCCACUGGCCGCGGCCACCAGGCUUGUGGGGCCCACGUGGAUCUACCGUCCCCAAUUCCAGCACUAUUUAUUCCCUUUCGUCCUGGAAAAAUAAGGAGAGAAGAUUUCAUUGUGUUUCACGAUCUAGAGGCGCCGCCAUCCCCUGUUCUUCAUCUGGUGGGCAGAUCUAGAGUCCGUUUUGGGCUCCGGAUCAAGGAGAUCGUCGCCAUCAUCAUCAUCAACCUUCUUCCCUCUCCAAUUCCAUGAAGCUCUUCAUCGUUCGUGAGUAAUCUAUUCGUAGGCUCGCUGGGCGGUGAUGAGUAGGAUGAGAUCUAUCAUGUAAUCGAGUUAGUUUUGACUGGGAUUGAUCCCAAGUAUCCACUAUGUUCUGAGAUUGUUGCUACUACUACUUUUCCAUGCUUAAUGCUUGUCACUAGGACCCGAGUGCCAUGAUUUCAGAUCUGAAAUUAUUAUGUUGUCACCAAUAUAUGUGUGUUUUAGAUCCGAUCUUGCAAGUUGUAGUUACCUACUAUGUGUUAUGAUCCGGCAACCCCGGAGUGACAAUAACCAGAACCACUCCCGGUGAUGACCAUAGUUUGAGGAGUUCAUGUGAUCACCAAGUGCUAAUGUGUUGGUCCAGUUCUUUAUUAAAAGGAGAACCUUAAUAUCCCGUAGUAUCCAUUUGUUCUCCGCUGCCACGGGAGGGAUGGACAAUAUGUCAUGCAAGUUCUUUUCCCUAAGCACGUAUGACUACACACGGAAUGCAUGCCUACAUCACAUUGACGAAUGGGAGCUAGCCACAUAUCUCUCCGUGUUAUAACUGUUGCAUGAUGAAUGUCAUCCAACAAAUCACCGAUCCAUUGCCUACGAGUUUGUUCCACUGCUAUUGUUACUUGCUCUGCUGCUACUGCUGUAACUACUGCUGCUGCUACUGUUACUUCCUGCUACUGUUACUUGCUUUGUCCUGCUGCUGCUGCCACUACUGUUGCUACUACUGUUACUUGCUAUUGUUGUUACUUGCUACUGCUGCUACUUGCUACUGCUGUCACUAUUGUUGUUCCUUGCCACUGUUGUUACUCGUUACACUGCUACUACCUGCUACAAUACUUCUCUGGUGCCAUUGGUACAACAGUUAGGAAUAGUCUGCCUCGUCAACAGAUCGUUUCUGGCACCGUUGCUAUCAUACUACCUUUGGUGCUUAUAUCCUGCUUGAAGAUACUAAUCUUUCAGGUGUGGUUGAGCCGACACCUCAACUGCUAAUACUAGAGAAUAUCCUUUCACUCCCAUCGUGUUGAACCAACAAAUUUGGGUGUAAUACUCUACCCUCAAAAACUGCCGCGAUCCCACACGCUGGUGGGCCAUUGCAAGACAAUUGCUAAUUGUUGAGCAACUGGAAGCAGUUCUUUUCUCGUGCCAUUGCCGGGGACUGCUAGCAGCUCUUUUCUGGCGCCGUUGCCAGGGACUGCUAGCAGCUCUUUUCUAGCGCCGUUGCCGGGGAGAAGAUAGCUAUAUUCUCUGAGUCACUUGGGAUUUAUAUCUGCUGAUCACUAUGAAGAAUCUGGAAGAUCCAACAACCAAAGUCUUGCCCUCAACUACGAGGGGAGGUAAGGAACUGCCAUCUAGCUCUGCACUUGAUUCACCUUCAGUUAUGACUAAGUUUGCGACACCACCUCAUGCUAGAAAUCUUGAUAUGUCCCCUGUGCUUGAUGAUGCUUAUGAUGCUACUAUGCUUAAUACUUCCUUGCCUGAUGAUGCUAGAGAUGCUAUUUUGCCUGAUGAUGCUAUGCUUGAUACUACUGGAGAUAGUACUUUGCCUGAUAUACCACUAGGGGUAUUCCUUGAUGCUCAUAUUCCUAGAGUUACUGCCAAUGCUCGUGAUGCUUCUGAAACUGCCGAUACUAUUGAGAUAGAACCUACUUUUGCUCCUUCUAGAUCUAGCUCUCCUAGAUAUGAAUUGCCUAAUAUACUUGAGGGUUAUGUUAUGGAGGGAGAGAUAGCUGAGGAUCUUCUUGUGUGUAAGGAUGCCUAUGACGCUGAGAAAUUACUUCUCAAGUGGAAGGAAAAUUCUCUGAAAGCUAGGAUGAAAUACGACCCGAAGUUUGCCACUUCACCUAUCUUUAUCACCGAUGAGGAUUAUGAAUUCUCUGUCGACCCUGAGAUAAUCUCUCUAGUCGAAUCUGAUCCUUUCCACGGUUAUGAGUCUGAGACGGUCGUAGCCCAUCUUACCAAACUACACGAUAUAGCCACCCUUUUCACUAGUGAGGAGAAGAUCCGCUACUACUAUAUCCUUAAGCAGUUUCCUUUCUCACUAAAGGAUGACGCUAAAGCCUGGUUCACUUCUCUUGCUCCUGGAUGUGUGAGUAGUCCCCAUGAUAUGGUCUAUUACAUCUGUGAGAAAUAUAUCCCUGCCCAUGAGAAGCAAGCUACCUUGCAGGAAAUUUACAACUUUGCUCAACUCAAAGAAGAGAGUCUCCCACAAGCUUGGGGGAGGCUCAUCCAGCUACAGAAUGCUUUGCCUGAUCACCCUCUUAAGAAGAACGAGAUACUUGAUAUCUUCUAUAACGGACUUACCGAUGCUUCUACCACCUAGAUAGUUGUGUCGGUUGUGUUUUUAGGGAACGAACUGUAGAACAAGUUGAGAUUCUACUGAAUAACAUCUUGAUCAACGAUAAUGCUUCGACUAUCCCCGAACCACCUCCUAAGCCAACUCCUAUGAAAAGUGGUAUUCUAUUCCUCAGUCCCGAAGAUAUGCAAGAAGCCAAUAAAUCUAUGCAAGAGAAAGGCAUUAAAUCUGAAGAUGUCAAAAAUCUACCACCUAUCGAAGAGAUCCAUGGUCUCGAUAACCCGAUACAAGUAGUAGAGGUGAAUUCUCUGCGUAGAUUCAAUGAGAGUGAUAUUCCUUUUGACAAACCUGCUAGCCUAUGCCUUGAUGAAUUUGACAACUUUGUUGCCAAACAACAGAGUUUCAAUGAUUAUGUUAGCAGACAAUUGGAACAAAGUACUCAUAUGCUUAGUCAUUUAAGUGCUUGUGUAGACAGAAAUGCCAAUGAUCUGAAUCUUCUGAGUAAACAUGCCUCUAUGGUUACUACUCAGGUAGAACAAGUACUUAAAGCUCAAAAUGACUUGCUCAAUGAGUUGAAUGACAAUUCCGUCAGAGUCGUUACUAGAGGAGGCAAAAUGACUCAGGAACCUUUGUAUCCUAAAGGCCAUCCUAAGAAAAUUGAUCAAGAUUCUCAAGGAAUUAAUGCUGAUACACCCAGUCAUCCUAAGAAGAAGAAGAAGGAUGAUGGAAACCUACAUGUCAGUUCACCAAAUACUAUCACACCUGAAGAACCAAAUGAUAUUUCUACGUCUGAUGCAGAAACACAAUCUGGUGAUGAACAUGAACCUGGUGACAAUAUGGACAGCGAUAUUCAUAAUAAUGCUCAACCUAGCAAUGAUAAGGAUGUGGAGAUUGAACCUAAGGUUAAUCCUGAUAACCCACAACCUAAGAGAUACGAUAAGAAUGACUUCACUGCUAGGAAGCAUGGUAAAAAAAUGGAGCCAUGGGUUCAGAGACCCAUGCCCUUUCCUCCUAAGCCAUCCAAGAAAAAGUAUGAUGACGAUUUUGAGCGCUUUAUUGAAAUGUUGAGACCCCUCUUUCUGCAGAUGCGGUUAAUUGAUAUGCUCAAAAUGUCUCCAUAUGCCAAGUACAUGAAAGAUAUCGUGACUAAUAAACGGAAGAUACCAGAUCUUGAGAUCUCUACCAUGCUUGCCAAUUACACUUUCAAAGGUGGAACUCCUAAGAAACUUGGUGAUCCCGGAGUGUCCACUAUACCUUGCUCCAUUAAAGGAAACUAUGUAAGAACUGCCUUAUGUGACCUUGCAGCCGGUGUUAGUGUUAUGCCUCUCUCUCUUUAUCGUAGACUUGAACUGGAUAAGUUGAUACCCACUGAAAUUUCUCUGCAAAUGGCCGACAAAUCAACUGCUUUCCCUGUCGGCAUUUGCGAGGAUGUGCCUGUUGUGGUUGCUAACGUUACUAUCUUAACGGACUUUGUUGUCCUAGAUAUUCCUGAGGAUGAUGCCAUGGAGAUCAUUCUUGGAAGACCGUUCUUAAACACCGCAAGGGCUGUUAUAGAUUGCAGCAAAGGCAAUGUCACCUUCCAUGUCAACGGUAAUGAGCAUACAGUGCACUUUCCGAAGAAACGAUAUCAAGUACAUUGCAUCAAUGCUAUCGAAAAAACUUCAUCGAUUCUUAUUGGGAGCUUAAAAUGCCCUGUUCCUCAUGUUAAGACGAAGUAUGAUUUGCUUGUUGGGGAGAUUCAUAUCCCCAUUGAGGUGACUUAGUGGAUAUUCCACAAUUCUCUGUUUCCUUUUGCGAUUCAAAAAAGUUUUGUCAUGAGGAUUUGAUCAAACCCAUUGACGGAUUUCUUUUGAUGACCAUGAAAUGGAUGAAUCAAGGAGUCACAUACCUCUAUUUUAAGCUUUCACUUUCUGUUGCUUAGAAGGAAAAUGAUAGAUUUAGUAUUAGUUUUUCCUGUUUUCUGUUUUAGCGUCCCGGAGAAAAGUACCCUGAAAAUAAAAGUUCUCCGAUGGUCCUGAAAAUCAAAUAUGAUUUUUUCUAGAUUUUUUGAAAAAUACUAGGACUGAGAGCUGGCCUGGGGGCCACACCAGAGGGCCACAAGCCCUAUGGCCGCGGCCUCCCCCCCUGACCGCGGCUACCAUACUUGUGGGGCCCACAGGGACCCCCUCCACUCAUUCUAGCUCCCAUCCCCUUCUUCUACCUCCAGAAAAAAUCGUUUCGCAGCUCAAACCCGUGUUCUUGCUCAUCUGGUUGUGAUUUUCAGUCUCCUUGCUCAAAGCACCAUUCUCCGAACCGUUUUGGGGAAAUUACUCCUUGGUAAGUGACUCCUCCAUUGGUCCAAUUAGUUUCUACUCUAGUUCUUUAUCCUUCGCGUAUUCUUGCUACCUUGGUGACCCUGUUCUUGAGCUUGAAAUGUUGAUUUUAGCUGGUCCCAAGUACUUUUAGCGCGUGAUAUGGUCUCUAGGCACUAGUAGGAGUAGUUGCUACAAGGUGUGGUUGGUCUUUAUUAACUUUUCUCUUUAACUUCAAAAAUUUCAGCAAAAAGAAAUUAUGUUCAGGAGGAAGUUUCAUGGUGGUUCCUCAAGUAAGAAGGGUCCCCGUCUUUCUAUUCGGGAGCCCGAUCCUUAUCAACUAAGGGACGCACGGGUACAACCAUGUGAAUGGCCUUCCAAUGAGUUCAUGAUCGAAGCAGGCUUCAAGGAUGAGUUUGAUGCACUUGUUCGCAAUGUCGGGUUAGAAGAAUUCCUCUCAGAUUAAUGUGAACAGUAUGUUAUGCUCACGGCCUCUUUCGUGCGUAGCUUUAAAUUUUCAGUUGGCCAUGACUCAUCCAUACUGUUUGAUCUGUAUGAUAAAUCCUACACCAUGGAUUUGGAGGAUUUCAAUAGGAUUUGCAAGAUACCCGAUGGGGGUAGUCUUAAUGAUCCUACUAAGUCUUCGGUUAGAAAUUUUGUCUGUAGUAUAACUGGGGAUUUCUUUGGCGGCAUCUAUGCCACUCGCAUAGCAAAUUUUCUUGGAGUACCCAUCCGCGCAGGAGAUCCCCCGCUCCAUACAGCUUUCCUUGACCGCGUAGCUAUGACACGCUACUAGUUCCUUGAGAGGGAUGAUGAAUCCCUCCUAUACCGAUUGAUAUUUAACCGACAUCGUAUUUUCCAUAUUACCCUUCCUGCUCCUGCUUUCUUUGACUUUCAGGUAAAAUGGAGAUACUACAUAACCAGAGGAGAGGCAAAGGAGUAUGAGAGGGAGGCGACGGCUGCUCGUCUCUGUGAGGCAGCUAUUCAGGCAGUGGCUGCAGCGCUCCCGUAUAACCUUGAUUAUGAUUUUGGGUUUCGCCAGGACCGUCCUUGGGAGCACGUGUUUGCACCAACUUUACAUUCAUGCUUAUGCUUUCACUUUGUUAGUCGGUGUUUACACUUUGCCACUCUAUUAUCCAUGCUAGUUUAUUUUCGUUUUCUUGUUUUCUUGUUUUGUGUCCUCUUGAGAAAACCCAAAAAUAUUUUCCUUUCUUCUUUUGCUUGUUGGGAGCUUUCCCGUGUAAAUAUUUUUCUUUUUCUUUGAGUCGAGGUAGAACACCAUGGUUACAAUGUUUAGUGGAUCUCGCAUGCAUACCUGUUCAUUUGUUAAAGAGCCAUAUUACUUUGUCUUCUCCUUUGUGUUUGCCUGCAGAUUCAGCUUAGUCCAAUGCACGAGCACUCUUAUUAUUGUUCACAUCGUUCGAUCGUGCAAGUGAAAGGCAAUAAUGAUGAUAUAUGAUGAAGUGACUGAGACUGAAAAGCUGGUAUGAAUUCUAUCUAUUUUGUUUUUGUAAAUAUGACUAGCUUGUCGUCCCAGAUUCAGCUCUGUUGAGAGAGAACCAUGUUUGCAAUGACAACUUAGAGAUCAUAGUUUCUGAUGCCAUGCUUAAUUAGCUAGGAGCUUAUAAUGGUUUGUCUUGAAUGCCAACAAAGAUUUUGAGAUGACUAUGAUGUAGUAUGAUAGGAUGGUAUUCUCCUUUGAAUGACUCAAGUGGCUUGACUUGGCACAUGUUCAUGCAUGUAGUUGAAACAAAAUCAACAUAGCCUCUAUGAUGUUCGUGUUCAUGGUGAUUUAUAUCCUGCUCAUGCUUGCACUCAAUGUUAGUCAAACUCAUUGCAUCUUGAUGACUAUUGUCGCUCUCUAGUUGGUCGCUUCCCAGUCUUUUGCUAGCCUUCACUUGUACUAACCGGAAUACUGCUUGUGCAUCCACUUCCAUAAACCCAAAAGUGUUUCCAUGAGAGUCCAGCAUACCUACCUAUUUGCGGUAUCUACCUGCCGUUCCAAGUAAAUUUGCAUGUGCCAUUCUCUAAACCUUCAAGAAAUAAUCUGUUUUGCAUGCCCGAACCGCGCAUGUGGUGACAGGGGGCUAUUGGUAUCUUCCAUAUUAGGUGUGUUAUCCUCGACUUGUGUUUAUUCGGUGUCAUUCACGAGAAAGGGGCCGGUAAUUGGAAUGCCCAGUUCCACGCUUAAAUCAAAAACAUAACUGUAAAACAAGACUCCCCCCGGAUUGAUGUUAGUAUGGACGGUACCUGAGGAUUCGGCUAGCCGUGGAGUGUGAUUGAUUGGUGGUGAGGGAGUUAAAACAUUACUUUUGUGUUUGGGAACCGCCUAUAGCAUGAAUAGCAUGGAAGAUAUUGAGAACUCUUGGUCAUUGCGUUGACAAUGAAAGCAUGCCACCCAAAAUUAUUAUCUCUGUUUUCAAAGCUUAAGCUCUGGCACCUCUACAAAUCAAUGCUUCCCUCUGCGAAGGGCAUGUCUAUUUAUUUUCCUGUUGAGUCAUCCUCUUCUUAUAUAAGCACCAACUGGAGAGCACCUCCGUCAUUUUUAUGCUUUGCUUUUGAUUGAUAUUGAGUAUAACUAUGACUGGAUCUUCGUUGCUAUGAAUUACAAUGUUUAGUCAGCCCUUGAUCUUUGAAAGUGCUCUGCAUUUAUGUUUUGUGGUCUCAGAAAGAGCUAGCGAGAUACCACCUAUUCAUAUUGCUUCAUGCUUGUUUUAAUUGAAUUGUUGGUAUCUGAAACUCAUAAUUAUUUGCUCGCUAGCUGAUUAUGCCAUUGAUAUUAGUUUACCGUGAGACCUUUGUGUCAUUUGCUUAUGUGGUUAACUUGUGAUCUUGCUGAAAUUCUGGUUAUGAAUUAGACAUAGUUGCAACAACAAGAUCAAACAGAGGUUGUCAAAGUUUUUCUUUCUCUUUCUGUUUGUCAACUGAGUUGCUUGACGACAAGCAAGGUUUUAAGCUUGGGGAAGUUGAUACGUCUCCAUCGUAUCUACUUUUCCAAACUCUUUUGCCCUUGUUUUGGACUCUAAUUUGCAUGAUUUGAAUGGAACUAACCCGGACUGACGCUGUUUUUAGCAGAAUUGCCAUGGUGUUGUUUUUGUGCAGAAAUGAAUGUUCUCAGAACGUCCGGAAAAUUUAUGGAAAUUAUUUCUGGAAAAUAUGAAAAAUACCUGCACAAAGAUCCACCGGAGGGGACGAGCCAGUGGGCCACAAGCCCUGGGGCCGCGGCGUCCCCCCUGGACGUGGCCACCAGGCUUGUGGGGCCCACAUGGCUCUGCCGCCCCCAAUUCCAGCGCUAUUUAUUCCCAUUCGUCCUGGAAAAAAUAAGGAGAGAAGAUUUCAUCGCGUUUCACGAUCCAGAGGUGCCCCCACCCCCUGUUCUUCAUCUGGAGGGCAGAUCUGGAGUCCGUUUUGGGCUCUGGAUCCAGGAGAUCGUCACCAUCGUCAUCAUCAACCUUCUUCCCUCUCCAAUUCCAUGAAGCUCUUCAUCGUUCAUGAGUAAUCUAUUAGUAGGCUCGCUGGGCGGUGAUGAGUAGGAUGAGAUCUAUCAUGUAAUCGAGUUAGUUUUGACGGGGAUUGAUCCCUAGUAUCCACUAUGUUCUUAGAUUGAUGUUGCUACUACUUUGCCAUGCUUAAUGCUUGUCACUAGGGCCCGAGUUCCAUGAUUUUAGAUCUGAAAUUAUUAUGUUAUCACCAAUAUAUGUGUGUUUCAGAUCCGAUCUUGCAAGUUGUAGUUACCUACUAUGUGUUAUGAUCCGGCAACCCCGGAGUGACAAUAACCGGAACCACUCCCGAUGAUGACCAUAGUUUGAGGAGUUCAUGUGUUCACCAAGUGCUAAUGCGUUGGUCCGGUUCUUUAUUAAAAGGAGAACCUUAAUAUCCCGUAGUAUCCAUUUGGACCCCGCUGCCACGGGAGGGAUGGACAAUAGAUGUCAUGCAAGUUCUUUUCCCUAAGCACGUAUGACUACACACAGAAUGCAUGCCUACAUCACAUUGACGAACGGGAGCUAGCCACAUAUAUCUCUGUGUUAUAACUGUUGCAUGAUGAAUGUCAUCCAACAAAUCACCGAUCCAUUGCCUACGAGUUUGUCCCACUCCUAUUGUUACUUGCUCUGCUGCUACUACUGUUACUAUUGCUGCUGCUACUGUUACUUGCUUUGUCAUGCUGCUGCUGCCACUACUAUUGCUACUACCGUUACUUGUUGUUGUUGUUACUUGCUACUGCUUCUACUUGCUACUGCUGUCACUAUUGUUGUUCCUUGCCACUUCUCUUACUCGUUACACUGCUACUACCUGCUACAUUACUUCGCUGGCGCCAUUGAUACAAUAGUUAGGAAUAGUCUGCUUCGUCAACAGAUCGUUUCUGGCACCGUUGCUAUCAUACCACCUUUGCUGCUUAUAUCCUGCUUGCAAAUACUAAUCUUUCAAGUGUGGUUGAGCCGACACAUUCCUCUCGGAGAGCUUGAAGGAACUGAGCCAUAGUCAAGCUUUCGGGAGGAGGCGGUGGAGGUGGAACAUUGUCUUGCUGCUGCUCGUGGUGAUCUCCACCUUGAGCGUCCCCUCCGGUUCCGUGCUGCUGACCUGAAGAGGAAGAGUCGGGGUUGCCGAAGGUGCUGGUGCGAGUUGCAAUCACUAUCCUGUCAGGGGAGUAGAUAGGUCAAUUUGUAGAACUGGCCGGAAUCAUAAGGGAUGAUGCUCUAUUAAGGUGGUCUAGUUUUGUGGUAGUGUGAGAUUUUUAAGCCAAAGAUUUUUGGAAAAGCUAAUGCAUUAGAUUAAAACAAUUGAUGUAGUUGCUUACAAGCUGCCUAAGGUAGAAAUGCGGCUUGCAUCAAACAUGCUCACACAACACUUCUGGUUCGCAUGAACGGAUACAUGAACUUACUAUGCUUGGGGGGAAAACUCCUAAUAGCCUAAGCCGUAAUCCUAAGCGGCGGACUGCUCAGUCUCAUAGAUGGCUUCUGCAGGGUCUUCGUCUUCAUCUUCAUCUGUUCUUUCCUCCUUCAGGGGAGUAGGAGAAGGAAGUGGUCCAUCACGGCGUCUCCUAGUUGGAGAGGCAGUGAGGAGCUCAGUGUACUCUUCCGCGGUCAGGCGGCGACUCUGAAUAGGAGUGGCAUGAAGUGGUGGUACUCCUCCUCGGAAGGCAUUGGUUGAUAGCCCUCCAGUUGCUCCUUCCUUCUUAACCUUACGGGUAUUCAUCUUCCCCACGCGAAGUAAGUCCUUGACUUGAUGCAGCUCUUGGCGAAUCUUCGUUGACUCCUUGAUCAAAAGGUGUGUAAAAGUGUCGGUGGAGAGAUUGAAGUAGGUCUGAAACCUUAGUGGCGUCUCGUCACCUGAAGAUGGGUUAAGUGUCCAACUCCCGUCUAUCCCAUCCUUAAUAAAAGGUAGGUGACGAGUAGUUGGCUCAUUAUCCAUAUCGGGAAAGAUGUCGCAGAGACGCACGAGUUCCUGUCGUGCGGCUGUCUCCACUGCCAACAUUAGAUCCUCCAUUUGUGGUCCUUCAAAGAACCAACUAGUUGGGGUGUCAUUAGCCUUCACUAUCACGUCCACGUGAUAUUCCUUGGUGUCGGCAUUGACCCAGUGCUCGUGGUAGAGGAAGAUGGGCGUGCGGCGUAAUUUGCACUUCUCGAGGCUAUAUCCCAAAAGUAGGGGAAAGCCCAUCUCCAGAAGCAUCUCAGGUACGGCGGCCAUCUACAAGAUGUAGGGGAGAGGGUUAGAAAGUUUUAGUGGGUGCAGAAAUCUUAGGUUAAAGUCUAGGUGCACUAAAUGUCUUGGCUAUCGUCCAUGCUACCUAGGGCUUCCUAUAGUCAGGAUGGCUCUGAUACUUGCUCUAUGGGGACCCCGACUUAUGAGUCGAGAUCGCCGAAUGAACAUGCUCAGUGAUCCCAGAGAACAAUGUUCAUUGAACACACAGAUAUUGAAUAUUGAGAGUCUUACAUCCAAGUACCGAAUUAUUACAUCACGUGACCGAAUGGUCAAGUUCACAUGGUAGGGCCUAUAAGGCCAAAUCACACGGAUACAACUAGUAGCGAAAAUCUUAGGGCUAAGCGGGUGCCCAUGCCAUCAGCCUACACCAAAAGGCAUUCUGAUUGGGAAGCAUCCUAGCUCGCAGGGGCGUCUCCGAAGACGUACUCUUCUCCAAACUCCAAUCCUGCCAUGUCUGGUCAAUAAUAUAACCAGUGGCAAGCCAAUGAGUGCUUUUGAAUGUACUCGCGAACAGCCCAGGAUAUGAACAAUGCAAGUGAAGCAUAACAAUAAUAUGCAUCUUUGGUGGUUAACAACUUCACUGUAAAUAAACAUGAUCAUGGGUGUGCAUCAUAACUAGAUGUUGUUUUGAAGAACAGGCUGCAGAUAUCAAUAUAUCUGUCGAGGGAUGAACACUCCGGGUUCAGCCUAUAUGCCAAGUCACCACACUUGGUCAUAUCAACUCUUUCAUAUUAACACCACACUCACACACACACACACUUGGUUUAUGCGGAAACGACUGGACGUAGUUUAAGAAGGAUUACCGAACUGUCCUUGACCGUGGACACUGCUAUUCUCAUAGUUUUACACUCUGUAGAGGUAGUACGCUGGACCCACGAGAUCCAGGAAACUUUUGUGUCAUCCACGACUCGAAGUAUAUAACAUACCCGAGGUAAGUACCCGAUCAAUGCCUUUCCCCUGACGAUACUAGACAAAGAGGUGCACUCGAUUUGUACCCAGCCCACAUGUUGUACGUCUUACGAGCACCGACUCUAGAGAGUAUCAACCAUGCGGGGACCAAUGAUGUGCUUGGAACACCUAAAAAUGGCAUAGUCGCCCUACCUGGCACGACCCCAUCACGAGAGUGACCACACAUCACUCCCGCCAGUAGUAAUGUGGCUCUUUGCUAGCACCGACCAGAGUAAUCAACACAGCCACAUCCCAAAAAGGGAUAACAUGGUCGUACAAGUAAGGUUGGGACGGUCGACACAUCUUAAAUCUAAUCCCAUUUCCGAAACCAUACACACUCCAAAUACCGGUGCACCACUUCACCAAAAGUGGCCACCUAACUCAUCAUCACCCUCGGGCAUUAGUGGCACCCGACAGGGUUUUCAUAAACCUUUGAUUUAUACCAUCAUUAUGCUCAUGCUACUAUGCUUAGCUCUACUUGUCAACAUGAGAUUAGCGUGACCCUCAUAGGUGGUAGGAUUACGCUCAAAAUGCAAGUGCUCUGGAGGAGCCAUCGGUAACAUCACUUCAAUGAUUUACUGAUGCUUAUGAUCACAUGCAACGGAAAUAUUUGCUACGCUAGCAUGCAAUAUAACAUAUGCUCAACAUAGUCAAAGGGCUACUUGCCUUUGUCUGCUAGGUAUCCGGGGUCUUCGAGGUCUUCCGCUCCAACUCCUUCGUCACACGGGUUUUCUAUCAUCGUAGUAAACAAAUGCAAUAAGUAGCUCACUCCAAAACAUAUCACAAAAUCACUUUUAAAAUGUUGUUUAAUUCUGAUAAAUCCAUAUUGUUAGUUUAAAAAUGUUUGUCUCUAGUUUUAGUGAAAUACUAUAUUUAAAAUUCAUAUAACGGAAGCCAAACUAUUCCGAUUUAACCUUUUUAUUAUUAUAAAAUAGAAUAAUUGUUGCAGAAAUUACUUCAAUGGUUCAGUUGAAUACUACAUGUUUUUAGAAAAAUAACAGUGGAAAAAUCAUAUUAUUUCAUGGGUUAAAUCUUUUUACAAAAAUCAUUGAAAUCAAGUUUUAAAAUAAAAAGAAAAGUGCUACAGCCCCUGGCCUGGCUUGACCUGGGACUGGGCCGGCCCACUGGCCAGCCAACCAACCUGCCCAAGCGCUCACGCCGUCAGGUUUGAACCUGACACGCGUGCCCCUGCGGUCAAUCGUUGCGGGCAGCGAGUGAGAGAGAGAUGGGCCACCGACACGUAGGGCACACCUGUCGGUGUCAUCUCCUACUUCUGGCCAGUGAGGAGGAGGAGCACGCUAGCAUGGCUACCGACGUCCUCGGGCCCUAAUGACGACAUGAACCAGUCCGGCUCGUCGUCGCCUACCUGCUAGUGGUCGAGUUGACGGUGAAGGGGCUCAGGUUCACCGGCGACGAGGUAGUCGCGGUGGAGGGGUUUCAGGUGAAGGUGGAGGUGGUAGCUACGGUCACGGAUUUGCUCGGUGAAGAGGGGGGAAUCUUCAUGGAGUCACGGGGAGUGCUUUGGUGGGCAGAGGGACGCGAGAGCCGACGUGUAGCCGGAGAUCGACCGGAACUUCGAGGCGGAGGGGCCUCGGUCGAUCUCGAGCCCCGGGGCUCUGCUUGCUUACUGGGUGGCUAGGGAUGUGAUUGGGGUCUUGGUGAGGUGGAGCGAUGGGUUCUGGAGCGAGGGGAGGGCUAUUUGUAGGCCCGCAACGGUGCGCCGACUCGGGAGCGCCUGUGAUCCACCGUGGUAUGCAUGGGGUGCAGAGAGAGGAUGGGGUCGAAACCAUGGUCUCAGGACGUGGUUUUGGACCGGGAGGACUCACUGCGAGAGAGAGGGAGGGAGGAGAGGCGAGCUACCGUGGUCGCGCUCCUCUGGCGCUUCUGGUGCACGCGGGCACGCGUCGCGCCGGCUCUUAGCGCAGGAUAGGAGGGUCCCUGAGGGUUGCCUCAUGCAUAGGGAUUGUCGGGGGUAGAGGAGAGAAACCGCGGGUAGUGUGGAACUGGCCGAGGGAGUCGCCCCCACCUCGGUAGCUCUCUAUAGCGAGCCCAGAGCACAGUUUUGGCAUGCCACGGCAUGCUGGUGCGCUCUGGGGUGCCUUUGACGCGUCUAGCAUAUCCUGGGAACUAGCUUGGAGAUGCCUAGUCAUUGGAAUCCCAUGGAAGUCUCGGCUGGUCAAAGAGAGACGAGAAACAGGUAUUGUCAGCCUUAGGAUGAAGCUCAAAUUAGGAAUUUGGCUUAUCUACUUUGAACCAAAGAGGGGCCACUUGACUGGAGUUAGGCAUUGAUGUCACGCACCUAAUCUAUAAGUUUGGGAGAAAGGGAUUGGGUUUAGCUAAGGUUAGGAGGGGUUUUACGCAACUGCCAUAAGGUGGUCGACAGUGGUUUGGGAUGGCUGCACCCCACCACUGGCUAUGCAACUUAAUAGUAUUGGGUUCGGUGCUAAAACAAGAGGUAUCACCAAGUUUGAUCUCCAUUGGACAAGUUUAGCUUUGUAAACUUGAAAACAUCACCAAAUGACCACAUAUAUUCCAUCCAAAGGAUAAACCAAAUGACCACCAAGAGAGUGUGGCAAAACAAGUCCCACAAAUCCCAUUUUUGGCAUGGAGUCCUCAUUUGAGGUGUUAGGCACUUCUGCAAAGUUUCAGCUCCAAAGGAUAAACUUUUGUAUGUAGAGUUGCUCUAUCUUCAUACUGGACAGAAGGGGUUUUGCAAUUAUUUGGUGACCUUAAUCACCUUGGAUCAAGGUGAAAUUUUAUAUGGGCACCAAAUAUGGCUUAGGGAUACCAGUGGAAUUUUCUAGGAAUUUAUUGAUAAUAUUUCCUUUGGAAAUAUUUCAAAAGAUCAAAAGAGACAGAAAGGGUUUUCUGGGUUUUACUCAAAUAAUAAUAAUAUACAUAGGGGUUGAAAAUCUUAUGUAUGGAAAACAUAUGCCUUCUCAUUAUCUCCAAAUUUUCUUAGAUUUUUCUAAGGCAAAAAAGUAUUUUUUUCCAUAUAGGAAUAUCAUUUCUGGCCUCAUAAAUGGACAUGCAAAUAAAAUGGGAAAAUAAUUCAUAAAAUAAUUAUUUUAUGGUUUUGGUGAACUAAAAUGGUACUAGAACCAGAUCACAAACUUUGGGUAAGAACACUCCUUGCCAUCAAGGACUUGUAGUGCAACCCAAAGCAGGGUUUUGAAUUGAGAGAAAUAAGAAAAAGGAUUUUAAAAAUAAUUGGGUCAUGAGAAUUGGGGUUUUUGAUAUCACACACUCAAGCAUUCAAGCAUACAAUGGCAAUCAUGUCACUCUCAACAUUAGUUUUGAUUAUUUUUUAAUAAACUCAGAUUUUUGAAUUCACAGAAAAAGUGAUAGUGAAAACAGGGUGUGACAAUAAACUUUAUAUGAAAAAUGUUGUGCUUGAUAUGCUCUACAUGAUUAUGGAAUUUGCAUACAUAAUAGAAUGCGUCUAUAUGCUCAAAUCUCUCUUGUAAGUACUUCGUGAAUAAGUCUAAAAACUGAUAUUUUAUUCGAACUUGGCUUGAUGAUUGCAUCUAAUCCGUAGGUCUUUUGCAUGUGAUUUCUUUGUGGAAUUUGAUCUAUGGAUGUCUACUUUGAUGACAUGCCUGUGGUUGCCAUGUGAACCAACUCUAUCAUGUUAAUAUGUUGCUCUAAAGGUGCUAUAACGUUAAAACUACUAAUCCAUUUUCGUUAAGUUCCAUUUUGCAAAGCUCAAAUUAAGCAAACCAUGCCUCUUUUGAAUGUGAGAAAUGGAGUGGUUUGUAGUAUUAUAUGGCUAUUUGUUGUUUGUAGGAUUCCCAAGCCAUGUAUUUCAUGCUUAGAUGUAGUUUUCAUCAUGUGACCAAGCCAUAAAAAUGUUUUUGUUUGUAGUGUCAAAAUAAUUCUAAGUCUAAGUAUCAGAUUAUUUCUGAAUGCCAUGUUGUAGGGAUGUUGUCUAUGAAUGUGUCAUUAAAUAGACCUUUCUAGAAUGGAAUGAAAUGACCAUGCCUACCACCAUAUUGUAAAUUUUCAUGCCACUAUAUGACAUGUAGCAUAUGUUUUUUUUGCUACCAAUAUGCCUUCAUGAUAAAAACUACUAUGUUAAAACUGUUAUUUUCACCAAGUCUGAAACUGUGUUCAAGUAGCCAUCUUGUGAGCUCAUUUCCUAGUGAUGCAUGCUUCUAUUCAAUUGCAUACAUUCUAGAUUCCUAUAGCUUGUCUAUGCAUUCUAGAUUCCUAGAUUCCUAUAGGUCAUGUCAACUACUAUCUCACAUCUUGUCUAUGCAUUCUAGAUUCCUAUAGCUUGUUGUUUUGGUGUGCGCAAAAUGUCAUGUUGUUGUUUUGGACAUAUUUUCACUAUAACUUGCGUUGGUUGUAAUUGUUGAACUUCGCUCCAUUUUGGACGUGCCAUAUAUGAAACUUGCUUAAAAUCUCAUUUAGUUUCAUAAUAUAUUGUUGCAUCCAUGAAUUAACAUGUUUGUGGUGGUCAUUUGCAUACAUUUUGCAUCCAUGGCAUAUUACUUUGCGUUGGUCAAAUAUUUUAGACCGUAAUUCCGUUUAAAUGAUCAAUAUAUGUAAAUCAACUAGAAUGAUGUGUACAAUCACAUGGUGCACUUUAUUUUCCUGUUUAAUAAAUAUAAAGUAUGUUUAGUUCAGAUCUGGACUUUCCGAAAUUAACAUAUGGGUUCGUUAUGGGAAUGUUAUAUGUUGUUUCCGACCUCAUUUAAAAUUCCUAGAUACAUAGUUUAUUUAUGAUUCACCUCUUGCCAUGUCUAACAACAUUUAAUAUUGUCGUGUACCUUAAUGGGAGUGUAGUAAUUUAGUGUGGUGCUUUGCCAUGCCUUGCAUAUUAAACCGGACAUGCGUUAUAUUGUUCGCAUAUCAUCUCGUCAAUAUUUUGUGGUGUUUAUAGUGUGUUGAUUGUUUGUUUCCGGAUUGCUUCUUCUCGAUAGAGCUUCAAAAGCGCUCAGAAUGUGAGGAUCCGUUCGACUACGUUUGUUCCUCUUCUUCACGAAUUCGUUCUUCUUCCAAGAGGGAUCUCAUGCAAUAUGAUCAUUUCCCUGGAUACCACUACUAUCAUUUUUUCCAUUUAUCUUGCUUAUACCAUUAUGUCUCAUUACCUACCAACUAGAUGUCAAGUCUCGAACCUCUCCACAUCCCAACAAACCUUUGUUUCGCUAUGUUACCAUUUCCUCAGCCCUUCUUAUAGCGUUGCCUGUUGCAAGUGCAAAUUGCUUCCAUGUGAAAGCAUGGAUUUCUUGAGAUAUCACAAUAUUAUUGCUAUUUAAUUUAAUAUACAUAUAUACUCGCAAAAAGCUGGAAGGACUGGCCUUUUGGCUCAGUGUUUUCAUCCACCUUUACCGCCCUAGUUACUUGUGUACUGGUGUUACGUUCCAUAUUCAGCGCUCCUAAAAUGCUUGGGGUUGUGAUGGGGCCCCCUCGAUAAUUCCUCUUAGUUUAAAACUCUUCUGGUACUACAUUUGCCUAAUAACUAAUAAACCUGCAUAGGGAGUAAUUAACACACGGAUAAUUAAUCAACAACCCGGGCCAUUGCUCCUCAUGAGUGUUUGUCCAAAUUAGAGCACUGUGCAGGGCCACCCCAUGGAAACUCGGGUGAUUUCUAUUAGGCCUUGUACACUAGCUUAUUCGAUCGUGUCCUGAGAACAAGAUACGCGACUCCUAUCGGGUUCGUUGACAUGUCGGGUGGCCUUGCUAGAUUUGUUUUACCUUUUUUGAAAUAUCUUGUGCACCGGUAUCCCGAGGAUACUUUGGGCUAUCUCGAGGUUGAAGUCUUCCACCAGAAUUCCAAACGGACUAUGACCUUUUCUCUGUGGUUGAGGUUUUCCAUGCACCUUGUUGCUAGUUUGUGAUGGAUGACUUGGAGCACCCGUGCAUGGUUAACUCUUUAUGAGAGUCAUUCCCGCGGUUAUGUGUCAAUGUGGAAACUUUGUUUAACACCCACUCAUAGAAAACUUGAAGUAAACACAAUUAAAAUAUGCCAAUAUGUGCAUAACAGUGACUCUCUCUACUCAUGAGUUCUGAAUCCGAGAGAGGACACGGUGGGGUUAUGUUUGACUUGUAAAUAGAUGUUCAGGAUUACUUCUUGAUCAUUAUUUGUUCACUACCGUUUAUGUGUAGAUCCUCCCUCUUAUUCUUGUACUCAUAAGUUAGCCACUCAAAUAAAUGCUUAGUGCUUCGUGCACCCUCACCACUUAAACAUACCUCACUCAUUAAGCUUUGCUAGUCUUGCUACCUUUGGAUAUGCAGUAGCUGAGUCCCUGUGGCUCACAAAUUACUACAACAAUAGUUGCAAGUACAGGUAAUGUGAUGCUUUGAAGUGAGCGUGACGAUAGUCCUAUUUGGAGUUUCUUCUUCAUCAUCAUCGUCGAUCAUAGCAUAGGUUCCAGGCUGUCAGCCUGGGAUAGCAAAGAUGGACGUCAUUUUUUUAUCGUAUGAUUUCGUCCGUAGUCAGACCCUACUCUUCUGACUGCUGACGAAAUGUAUGGUUGUAUUGAGACGAUCAUGAUUAGCUUGUGGCAAGUGUAAGACAAUUCCAUAUAUUCAUCUCUUAUUUACAUGUACUUGUAUUGAUAUCCACUCUUUGAAACUACGAGAUGCGCUUCUAUCCCUGUCGAGACCCUCGUGCCAAAAUAAGGAUAGGAUUGUAUCUUGGGCGUUACAAGUUGGUACAAGAGCAGUGCUAAUCUAGGAGGCCCUUGAUUGAUCGAACUUGGACGAGUCAAGUCUAGUGAAAAUCUAAUUUGAAUUUAGUUAUAUAUCGGAGAGUACAAUUCUUUUUAAUCCUAUUUUAUGCUUGGGUGAGGAUCCUAACAUCGUAAUUUUAAUUCUACCCCUCUUCUCACUCAAUUUUUUUUAGAAUCACGCGAGUAUUUUGGAAUCUCUAUGAUGCUGAUGUGACGGAGUUCUAUACGUGGUGCCACCCGUUUCUAAGGAGUAGAGCUCUAGGGGAUUCUUGACACAUUGUUAUCGUUAUGUUUCCUUAGUAUCUCAGGAUGAAGAUGUUUGAAAAAAAUUCAAUACUCUUUGUGGUGAGAGGAGUUUGGCACCACCCAGUACUUGGGAGAGCGUCCAAAUGUACUGUCAUAAUUGGUAUUUGUGAUUAUGAGGGUCUAAGGUAGAUGAAUUCUGAGAUCUCUGGUUAUAUGUUGAUGGAUGUGAUACACUUGAUGGGUAGUAUGAUUGCUAGUAGUUGACUGACUUAUUUAGUAAUUACUUCGUGUAUCCAUUUGAACAAAUUGCAGAAGCCGAAAGUUAUCGGGAGUUCCCUGGAGGGAAUGCAAGUAGUUACCUAGGAUUGUCUUCCAAGAGAUGCAUGAUGUGAGGUUGGGGUUCGACAACUAGUGGUUUGAUUCUUCAUGGUCUUUCUUCCAGAGGACAGUCUCCACAUGCUAGUUCGCUAUGCCCAAGGAGCAUAUUCAAGCAUCAUUUCAAUAUGACAAUCCAAUGUAUGAUCAACCUCGUGCGAGAGUUACCACAAAAAUAUUGGAUGUAAUCUUUGUCAUGAAUUUGUUUCUAGCUUUAAUCUGCAAGCCUCAUCCUUCCUUUUUUUGACUUUGGUAAAUCGAGUUGCUUCGAUGUCGAGUGGUGAUUUCAUAUCUUUCCUAAGCGGUGUUCGCAUAUGACUAUGGGAGUGUUAAUAUUUUUGCUCAAUCAAAUUGGCAUGUCAAUUAUUUCCAACAAGUAUGCUUCUCUUCAAGUCAUUUCAGUCUUCUGUAAUAAUUGCAAGAUCCAUCCUCAUAUUUCUUUCCGGAGUUGGUCUCAUCUGUCCCAAGUUGUCUUUAUUUUUUCCCACCCUCCCGCCCUUUUUCUUCAAGGAUUAAAUUCUCAUCCNAGUGCCUUUCUUUCAUUAGUUCUUCCGCUAUCUUUUCUUCUGUAUCAUAUCCGGUGAUUCGUUCUGAAGAUGCUUUAGUGCUAAGUUCAUCAUUUCUUCAUUCUUGUUUUCUUCCCCGAUUGAUUCAAUUCAAGAUUUCACUGUUCAUCAUAUUCUUUUAUUCAUUCAAUGCUUCCUGUGUUGGAAGUUCUUAGCCAAGCCUCUCUUGUUCAUUCAUCCAUCUCAAUUCUAUCUGGAGUGCUGAAGAUGUCUCAAAAGAUUUGUGUUGCCAUUCAAAUCCUUUCAAAUUAUUUCGAGGGUCUCAUCUCAUCAAGUUAUCAUUAUACUGGUGGAAUAUCUCCUUCUAAGCAAUCAAUUCAAUGGUGUUAUCUUUGAGUGGUCCCAUAACCUAGAGGUUUUCCCACGAUCUUACCUGGUUGUUCCAAUGUUUUCCGGAGAUGUCCUCAAGCUCUUCUUAAUAUGACAUAAGGAUGAAUUUCAUGAGUCAUAUUCCUUCUGAAUGAUCACUUCUAAAUCAUUAUCUGGAUUGCUUCUUCUCGAUAGAGUUCCGAAAGCGUCCGGAGUGUGAGGAUUCGUUCUACUACGUUGGUUCGCCUUAUUCACAGAUUCGUUCUUCUUCCAAGCAGGAUCUGAGGCAAGGUGAUCAUUUCCCUAGAUACCACUACUAUCAUUACUUUUCUAGUUAUCUCAUUUCUAUCGUUAUGUCUCGUUACAUACCACCUGAAUGUGAAGCCCCCCAACAUUGCCAUGAAAAGCCUCUAACCCCUCCACAUCCUAGCAAACCUUUCUUUGGCUAUGUUACCUCUUGCUCAACCCCUCUUAUAGCAUUGCUAGUUGCAGGUGCAAAUUGCUUCCAUGUGAAAACAUGAAUUUCUUGAGAUAUGACAAUAUUAUUGCUAUUUAAUUUAAUGCACAAAUAUACUUGGUAAAAGGUGGAAGGCUUGGCUUUUUGUCUCGGUGUUUUGUUCCACCUUUGCCGCCCUAGUUACUUGUGUACCAGUAUUAUGUUCCAUAUUAAUCACUCCUAACAUGCUUGGGGUUGUUAUGGGGACACCCUUAAAAUUCUUCUGGCAAGGCCCAACUUUGGUACUACAUUUUCCUAAUAAAUAAUAAACCUGCAUAGGGAGUAAUUAACCCGUGGAUAAUUAAUCAACAACCAGGGCCAGUGCUCCUCAUGAGUGUUGGUCCAAAUUAGAGCACUAUGCAGGGCGACCGCAGGGCACCUCGGGUGAUUUCUAUCAGGCCUGAUCGUGUCCUGAGAACAAGAUACACUCCUCCUAUCGGGUUCGUCGACACGUUGGGUGGCCUUGCUAGAUUUGUUUUACCUUUUAUGAAAUAUCUUGUGCACCGGGAUUCCGAGGAUACUUGGGGCUAUCUGGAUGUUGAGUUCUUCCAUCGGAAUUCCAAGCAGACUACGGUCUUUUCUCCGUGGUUGAGGUUUUCCAUGCAGCUUGUUGCUAGUUUGUGAUGAAUGACUUGGAGCACCCGUGCAGGGUUAAAUCUUUCUGAGAGUCAUUCCCGCGGUUAUGUGCCAACAUGGAAACUUUGUUUAACAUUCGGUCAUAGCAAACUUGAAGUAAACACAAUUAAAAUAUGCCAACUAUGUGAGUAACUGUGAUUCUCUCUAGUCGUGAGUUCUAAAUCCGAGAGAGGACACAGUGGGGUUAUGUUUGACUUGUAAUUAGGUGUUCACGAUCACUUCUUGAUCAUUAUUAGUUCACUACUGUUUAUGCGUAGAUCACCCCCACCUCUUGUUCUUGUACUCAUAAGUUAGCCACUCAAAUAAAUGCUUAAUGCUUGAUGCAGCCUCACCAUUUAACCGUACCUCACAAAUUACACUUUGCUAGUCUUGUUACCUUUGGAAAUGCGGUAGCUAAGUCCCUGUGGCUCACAAAUUACUACAACAAGAGUUGCUGGUACAGGUAAUGCGAUGCUUUGAAGUGAGCGCGAUGAUUCUUCUAUUUGUAGUUUCUUUUUCGUCGUCAUCGUCGAUCAUAGCAUGGGUUCCAGGGCACCAGCCUAGAAUAGCAAGGAUGGACGUCGUUCUUUUCUCAUAUGAUUUCGUUCGUAGUCACACCCUGCUCUUCUGACUGCUGGCGAAAUGUAUGUUUGUAUUGAGAUGAUCAUGAUUAGCUUGUGGUGAGUGUAAGCCAAUUCCAUCUAUUCAUCUCUUAUUUAGAUGUACCUGUAAUGAUACCCAUUCUCGUGAAACAACGAGAUGCGCUUCUAUCCCUAUCAAGGCCCUCGUGCCAAAAUAAGGAUAGGAUUGCAUCUUGGGCUUUACAAGUUGGUACGAGAGAAAUACCAAUCUAGGAGCCCCUUGAUUGAUCAAACUUGGACAACUCGAGUCUAGUGAAACACUAAUUUGAUUCUAGUUAUAUAUCGGAGCGUAGGAUUCUUUUUAAUCCUUUUUUAUGCUUGGGUGAGGAUCCUGACAUAGUAAUUUUAAUUUUACCCCUCUUCUGACUCAAUUUGUUUUACGAUCACGCGAGUAUUUUGGAAUAUCUAUGAUGCUGACGCGACGGAGUUCUAUACUUGGUGCCUCCUGUUUGCGAGCAGUAGAGCUCUAGGGGAUUCUUGACACAUUGUUAUCGUUAUGUUUCCUUAGUAUCUCAGGAUGGAGGAUGUUCGAAAUUGCUAUAAUACUCUUUGUGGUGAGAGGAGUUUGGCAUCACCCAGUACUGGGUAGAGCGUCUAAUGUACUGCCAUACUUGGUAUUUGUGAUUGCGAGGGUCUGAGGUAGAUCACUUAAGAGAUCUCUGGUUAUUUGUUGACAGAUGUGAUACACUGGAUGGGUAGUAUUAUUGCUAGGAGUUGAGUGAUUUGUUUAUUAAUUACUUCGUGUAUCCAUUGGACCAGAUUGCAUAACCAGAAAGAUUUCGGGAGUUCUCAGGAGGUAAUUCCAGUAGUUACCUAGGAUUAUCUUCCAAGAGAUGCAUAAUGUGAGGUUGGGGUUCGACAACUAGUGGUUUCUUUGUUCAUGGACUUUCUUACAUAGGACAGUCUCCACAUGCUUAGUUAAGCCUUGUUGUUCGCUACGCCCACGGAGCAUAUUCAAGCAUUAUUUCAAUAUGGCAAUCCAAUGUACGAUCAACCCCGUGCGAGCGUUACCACAAAAAUAUCGGACGAAAUCUUUGUCAUGAAUUUGUUUCUGGCUUAAUCUACAAGCCUCAUCCUUCUUUUUUUGGACAUUGGUAAUUCGAGCUGCUUCGAUGUGAAGUGGUGAUUUCAUAUCUUUCCUAAGCGGCGAUCGCAUAUUUCUAUGGGAAUGUUAAUCUUUUUGCUCAAUCAAAUUGUCAUGUUAAUUAUGUCCAAUAAGUGUGCUUCUCUUCGAGUCAUUUCAAUCUUCUCCAAUAAUUGCAAAAUCCAUCCUCAUAUUUAUUUCCGUAGUUUAUCUCAUCUGUUCCAAGUUGUCUUUAUUUUUUCCCACCCUCCCGCCCUUUUUCUUCAAGGAUUAAAUUCUCAUCCAAGUGCCUUUCUUUCAUUAUUGCUUCCGCUAUCUUUUCUAUUGUAUCAUAUCUGGUGAUUCAUUGUGAAGAUGCUUUAGUGCUAAGUUCAUCAUUUCUUCGUUCUUGUUUUCUUCCCCGGUGGAUUCAAUUCAAGCUUGCGGUGUUCAUCAUAUUCUUUUAUUCAUUAAAUGCUUCCUUUGUUGGAAAUUCUUAGCCAAGCCUCUCUUGUUCAUUCAUCCCUCGCUAUUCUAUCCGGAGUAAUGAAGAUGUCUCAAAAGAUUUGUGUUUCCAUUCAAAUCCUUACAAAUUAUUUCGAGGGUCUCAUCUCAUCAAGUUUUCAUUAUACCGGUGCAAUAUAUCCUUCUAAGCAAUCUAUUCAAUGGUGUUUUCUUUGAGUGAUCCCAUAACCCACUGGGUUUUCCCACGAUCUUACGUGGUUGCUCUAAUGAUUUUCGGAGAUGUCCUCAAGCUCUUCUUAAUAUGACGUAAGAAUGAAUUUCAUUAGUCAUAUUCCUUCUGGAUGAUCACUUCUAAAUCAUCUUCAUCAUCGUCUCAACCUUUUCAAAUUCAUUGUUCCGUAGUGUCCUAGUAAGUUUUGGUGGUGUUUCUCAUCAUCAUUCCCAGCUAGAAGACCGAAGCAGAGUUCCUCUUAUAUCUUUGUCUCUUCUCUGAAGAUUCGUCAUCUCAGCUUGUUGUGAUCCUCUUAAACUGUUUUCGGUCAUGAGAAAGUUCUUGCUUAUCUAUCCGGUGCAUUUCAGAGUUGCUUUCAUUUCUCGAUCCUCCAAAGGCCAUCAUUUUAUAUGAUUUAUUCGUUCUCAGCUUUCAGCUUUCGUUCUCAAAUUCUUCUCAAUUGUUGUUUCUUCUUUCGUAUCUCAAUUAUUUCAGCGCCUCAUUCAAGUUCCUUGCUAGAUGGCUCAUGAUCUCUUUGUUCUCAUGUAUUCCUUUCAUUUGUGUAUCAUGUUCAUUUGUGAAUCUUACCGGUGUUGUCGUUCAAGAUGCAAUAUCUCUCUUCUAUCCUUUUCAAGAAGAAUAAGUGGUAUGCUAAAGCCGUUUCUUUUCAUCAAAUUAACUUGAUGAAGGAGAGGCAUAACAUAAUUCUUAUUGUUGUUUCCUUGAAGUGAUUUCAAUCCUUCUUCCCGAGUUGCCCAUGAUACCGAUUCGUGAUUCUAAGUUAGUCAUCUCUUAUUUUUUGUAGUUUCAACUUUUUCUCAAGUCUCUCUUCGCAAAAUUCCAUCUAAAUCUUUGUAGGUCAUAAUCUUAUUCUUUUCAACCUUCAUUGUUUUGAUCAUUCUUUUGUUCCCGCGGUUGCUCUCUUAGAUUCAUCAUUGCAUUUUGUUAAGAUCAUGUUCUUUCCUUGAUUGUCCUUUUAACCGGACUGUUAUGUUCUCUUUUCAAACUCUUUCCUUGUUUUGAAGUUUUGUCUCUUUUCCUACCGAACUACUCCGAUAUUUCUUUUGAAUUCUUCCUUUUUCCUCGUGCUAUUCCUCAUCUCUUGCAACCUUUAAGCUUCCUUGGUUUCACUCAUUUUUCAAAGAAGGAACUAAGUUUUACCUCUUGCUUUCCUCUUCCCCUUCUCAUUUUAAGAUCUCGGGGCAAGAUCUUUUGUUAGUGGAGGAGAGUUUAAAAGCCCAGAACUGACACACCGGAAAAUUCCCUUUUUUGUUUCGUUAUCGUUAUGUGAUUUAUUUGAUUGUCGCAUUCAUCAUUGCAUCAUGUGCAUCAUCCACAUUGCAUGAGCCCUCCCUUGCAGUCAUUUUUUCCAAAACUUGCAUCCAUUAUUAGAUGUCGGUUCUCUCCGUUCUCGUCCACGACCAUUUCGGGACCAACCACACACGCACGCGCUCGCGGGAUUGCUUAAAUAAUGUUUUUAAAAGUGUGCAUAAAACAUUCUUGGAAUGAGUUAAAAUUUAGCGUGCGGUCUUAUUUUAAUGUAGGUAGACCGCCUCUCAAAUUACAAUGCAUUUGGAGAUCGUUUGAUACAUGUACCGUUAAACAUAUAGCGGUACUAUAGUUGGUCAAAUUGUCGGACAUUUCUGUUUGUAAAAAAACCUGUCAUUUGCCACAAUCUUCUCUCUCAUCCCUAGUUAGCCCAUCUACAAAACCCACCAUAGCCCACCUAAAAAACCCCAUGACUCGAACCGUCCGAUCAAGAUAGAAGGUCUCGAAUCGUUGCUAAACCCCCCUCCAAAACGUAGUUACCCCACUAUAUAAAGGAAGUUACCCAAUCUGCAUGUGGCCAAAGCCUAGUCUUGCAUCAUUUCCGCGCAGCCGCGAGCCUACCCAACAUGUCGCCGCCACCGCCUCCCACAUCCAGCCGCCACAGCCCGCGAAAACCUAGAUCGGGGCCUCGAAAAGCCCAUCCGAGCCGGAGUCACGCCGCCACCUCCCACUACAUGGAGCGGACCUCCCAUGGCUCCUCGUGCCCGAGCUCCCUCUGCUGCCUCCUUGCCCCUCGCCUUGUUGAUGACCCCGCCGGAGAAGCCGCCGGAUCAGCCACAUGCCAUAGACGCCAUGGUCGUGCCUCGUUGCUUCUCGCACUAGCCACCAUGGCCUCAAACACUACCGGCAGUGAUGGGAACCCGAGCCCGCAGCUCGCUGCCUCACCCCACUCGUUGGUCCUCGCCACCAACCAGAGCCGCCGCCGCCACCCUUAUAUCCGGCCGGGACCAAGUCCCGACGGCCAGGUCCGGCCUCGCCCCUCCCGCCGGCCACUCAAAGCCACCGAUCUGUCAUGGCCUCCUGCAUCGUGCAGGUUCACGAGGGAAACGACGCCCAACAGUCGCUCGCCCGAGUGUGGGCCACCGGGGGCGCCACGCCCAACUCCGACUUCACCCAAGCACAGUGCGCUCCGAGGCCUGCUGUGCCGCGUCGCCUCGUGUGUGCCUCACCAUCCCGAGCCGGCCCAGCCUCCCAAAGCUUCCAUGGCUUUGGGCCACGAGGUGACCUCCGCCUUGCUAUGCCACGCCCCGGGCACAUUUUGAUUAUACAACGCCUAUGCACUAUAGGGCCACUCGGAUUUGGUCCAUUUCGUUUUUUUAUGUCGCGGUGAAUUUGUCUAUUACUAAAGGAUUUACAAAAUUGCAGAAUAGUUCCUCAUAUUCAUCAUUUAAUAACUUGAGAACCGUGCAUCAUACUAAAAUGAUUUCAAUGUGUAAAAUGUUUAGAAUUUUGUACCAAUUUGCAUUAUGCCAUGUUAAAAACGGUUUAAUUCAUAACUAAAUAACCGUAGCUUCGAAUUAAGUAAACUCUAUAUGGAAAAUGUUGCGCUUGAUAUCCUCUACAUGAUUGUGGCAUUUUCAUGCAUAAUAUGAUGCAUGUACAAGCCCAAAUCUAUGUUGCAAGUGCUUCCUGAAUAAUCAUAAAAACUGAUAUUUUAUCCGAACUUGGCAUGAUGAUUGCAUCUAAUCCGUCGGUCUUUCGCAUGUGAUUCCUUCGUGGAAUGCGAUCUAUGUGAUGUCUACUUUGAUUUCAUGCCUCUUGUUGCCAUGUGAACAACCUCUGUCAUGUGAAUAUGUUUCUAUAAAGGUGUUUUCACGUUAAAACUGCUGAUCUGAUUUCGUGAAGUUCCAUUUUGCGAAGCUCGCAUUAAGCAAGCCAUGCCUCUUUUGAAUGUGAGAAAUGGAGUGAUUUGUAGAUGUCUAGUUGAUGUUAGUAGAUUUCCCAAGACAUGUAUGUCAUGCUUAGCUGUAGUUUUCAUCAUGUGAACAUGCCCAGAAAAUGUUUAUGUUUGUAGUGUCAAAAUAAGUCUGAGAAUCUGAUUAUUUCAGAAUGCCAUGUUGUAGGGAUGCUAGCUAUGAAUGUGUGCUUAAUUAGAUCUUCCUAGAAUGGAAUGAAAUUAAGUGCAUCAUGCCUACUAGCAUGCUGUAAAUUUUCAUGCCAUUAUAUGACCUGUAGCAUAUGUUUUUCUUGCUGUCAAUAUGCCUUCACGAUAAAAACUACUAUUUUGAAACUGUUAUUUUCACUAAGUUUGCAACUGUGUUCAACUAGCCAUCUUGUGAGCUCAUUUCCUAGUGAUCCAUGCUUCUAUUCAAUUAUUGUUAUGAGUGGGAUUGUUGUGCAUCAUGUCAGCUACUGCCUCAUGUCUUGUCUAUGUAUUUUCUGGAUUGCAUCUUCUUGAUAGAGUUUCGAAAGCGUCUGGAGUAUGAGGAUUUGUUCGACUUUGUUGGUUCGUCUUCUUCACAAAUUGAUUCUUAUUCCAAGCGGGAUCUCAGGCAAGGUGAUCACUUCCCUAGAUACCACUACUAUCAUUGCUUUUUUACUUAUCUCGUUUCUAUCGUUAUGUCUCAUUACCUACCACCUGAAUGUCAAGCCUCCCAACAUUGCCAUGAAAAGCCUCUAACCCCUCCACAUCCUAGCAAACCUUUCUUUGGCUAUGUUACUGCUUGCUCGGCCCUUCUUAUAGCGUUGCUAGUUGUAGGUGUAAAUUGCUUCCAUAUGAAAACAUGGACUUCUUCAGAUAUCACAAUAUUAUUGCUAUUUAAUUUAAUGCACAUAUAUACUUGGUAAAAGGUUGAAGGCUUGGCUUUUUGGCUCGGUGCUUUUUUCCAUCUUUGUCGCCCUAGUUACUUGUGUACCGGUAUUAUGUUCCAUAUUGAGCGCUCCUAACAUGCUUGGUGUUGUGUGUUGUUAUGGGGACCCCCUUAAAACUCUUCUGGCAAGGCCCAACUUUGGUACUACAUUUGCCUAAUAAAUAAUAAACCUGCAUACGAAGUAAUUAACCCAUGGAUAAUUAAUCAACUAUGUUUUGGUCCAAAUUAGAGCACUAUGUAGGGCCACCCCGAGGCAACUCGGGUGAUUCCUAUCAGGCCUUGUGCACUAGCUUAUCCGGUCGUGUCCUGAGAAUGAGAUAUGCGGCUCCUAUCGGGUUUGUCAUCACGUUGGGCGGCCUUGCUGGAUUUGUUUUACCUUGUACAAAAUAUCUUGUGCGUUGGGAUUUCAAGGAUACUUUGGGCUAUCUCCAGGUUGAGAUACUCCACCGGAAUUCGAAGGAGACUACGGCCUUUUUCCAUGGUUGACGUUUUCCACGCAGCUUGGGCUAGUUUGUGAUGGAUGAGUUGGAGCAUCCGUGGAGGGUUAAAUCUUUCUGAGAGUCGUGCCCACGGUUAUGUGUCUUGACGUACGUUCCCCAAGGCCGUGUCCUCCAGGGUAUUCCCGGUGAGGGUGGUUAGGAGGGCAUGUUCGUUCCGUCUCCUUAGCUCCUCAUGUUGCCUUUUGGAUAGCGGUUGGGGAAUGAAGAGGUCGGAGUCGACGUUGUGACGAUCGCCCCCAUCACGUCUGCGGGAGUUGCCCAUCGAGAAACUAGGAGAUCCUCCUCUGGUAGUGUUGGCCAUCAGGAUCUUCGUAGGGUCUCCGCUGCCCUCGCAAUCAGACUCGUCGAACAAGAUAAGGGUGGGCUCGUCUGAGUCGACCAUGGCCACGUGCCCAUAGUGUCUUUAAGACCCACCUCAUGCUUGAUCUAGCAUUGCAGCCGUGAGCGCAUAGAGCGCUUACGUUGAACCACGGCAGGACGAGGGUGUGCCGAAUGGUAUGGCACCGACGGCUAUCGGAGAAGGACUCCGUGCAUCACUGCGCUUAAGUGCACUACGCCGCAGGCGGGCAUGUGGGGACCCCGACUUACGAGUCGAGAUCGCCGAAUGAUUGUGCUGAGUGAUCCCAGAGAUCAAUGCUCAUUGAACACAGAGAUACUCAAUAAUAAGAGUCUUACAUCCAACAUACCGUUUGAUACAACAACUGACCAUCAUGGUCAAGUCUCAAAUAGAUAGGGCCUGUAAGGCCAAUCACACCGGUACAACUACUAGUGGAAUCUUGGUAGUAAACGGGAGCCCAUGCCUUUAGCCUUCACCAACCGGCAUUCUGACUGGAAAGCAUCCUAGUUUGCGUGUUCGUCUCCGAUGACGAAUUCCUCUCCAAACUUUGGUUCUUCCAUGUGUGGUCAAUAACAUAACCAGUGGCAAGCCAGUGAGUACUUUGAAUGUACUCGCAAACAGCCCAUGAUAUGGAUAGUGCAGGCGAUACGACAUUGAAGUAAUAUGCUGACUUUGCGGAAAGCAAGUUUGAAUUUAAAUAAACAUGAUCAUAGAUGGUUAUGGUAUGCAUCAUAAGCUAGAUGGUAUUCAGAAGAACAGGUUACAGAUAUCAACAUAUCUGCUGUGGGUUGAACACUUCGGAUUCACCCGAUAUGCCAAGUCACCAAACUUGACCAUAUCAACUCUUUCACAUAACACCUUCUUAAACUCACACACAAUUGGUUUAUGCAGAAAUAACUGUACGUACUUUAAGCACCACCACCCAACUGUCAUUGACCGUGGACACGGCUAUUCGUAUAGGUUUACAAUUUACAGAGGUUGUACGAUGUACCCACGAGAUCCGGGAAACAUCCGUGUCAUCCACGACUCGCGGUAUAUAACAUACCCGAGGUAAGUACCCGAUCAUUGCCUUUCCCCUGAUGACACUAGACAAAGUGUUCCACUCGAUUGGUACCCAACCCACAUGAUGUAUGUCUUACAAGCACCAACUCUGGACCGUAUCAUCCAUGUAGGGACCAACGGUGUGCCCGAAACACGUAAAAACGGCAUAGUCGACCUAGCUGGUAUGACCCCGUCGCGAGAGUGACCACAUAUCACUCCCGCCACUAGUAAUGUGGCCUCUUUGCUAGUAUCGACCAAAGUAGUCAACAAAGCCCCGUCCCAUAAAGGGGUAUCGUGGUCGUACAUGUAAGGUAGGAUGGUCGACACAUCAUAAAUCUAAUCCCAUUUUCGAUAACACUCACACAAAAUAUUACCCGGUGCACUACUGCUUCACAAGUGGCCACCUAACUCAUCAUCAUCACCCUCAGGCAUUAGUGGCACCCGACGGGGUUUUCGUAAAACCUUUGAUAACAACAUUACAAUCAUCAUGCGUAUGCUUCUACUAUGUGUAGCACUACACUCUACUUGUCAACGUAAUAUCAACGUGACCCUCAUAGGUAGUAGGAUAAUGCUUAUAUGCAAGUACUCCGGAGGAGCCAUCGGUAAUACCAUUUUGAUGGUUUACCGAAUACUCAUGAUCAUGAGCAACGGGAAUAUUUACUCUACAUGAUAUGCAAUAAACAUUUUGCUCAAAUAUGGUCAAAGGGCCACUUGCCUUGAUCAGCUAGUUAUCCUGGGUCUUCGGGGUCUUCGAGUCCAACUCCUUCGUCGAACGCGGAAUCUAUCUUCGUAAUAAUAGUAAUAAAAUAAGUAGCUCACUCAAAAACAGAGCACAAACUCACUUUAAAAAUGUUAUCCUAUUCUGAUAAAUCUAUAAUAUAAUUUUAAAAAUAUCUUUCUUUGGUUUUUAUGCAAAAAGGUAUUUUUACAACCUAAAUAACAGUGGCUAAAAUAUUCAAACUAGGCAUUUAAAUCAAAGUUAGGAGUAAAACUUUUUAUAAAAAUUAGUGCAACAACGCUAAUAAAUUUUACACAUUUUUAGAAGAUUUGUGGUGGAAAAUAUUUAAAUUUGAUUGGAUAUUUAAAUUUACAAAAAUCAUUUAGAAUCAGAAACAAAAGAAAAAGAAAAAGGGGCUAACCCUUGGCUCGGCUAGUGGCUGGGCCGGCCCAACUGGCCAACCGGCCAGCUAGCCAGCCAGCAGCCCAGACGUGUGGUCAGUGACACAGAGAGGAGAGAGGGGGAAAGACUGGCCACCGACAGGAAGGGCAUGCCUGUCGGGGUCGUCUUCCUCCUCUGGACAGAGAGGAGGGGAGGAACACCGGCGGCGAUACCGACGCCCUCGUGCCCCAACGACGGUAGGAAUGGAACCGGCUCAUCGCGGCCUACCUGCCGGUGGUCGAAGGAACGACGGGGAGGCCUUGGGUUACCGGUGACAAUGUGGCCGCGGCGGAGGUGCUACGGGAGGUGGUGGAGCUCGGUGCUACGGGCAGGGAAUAGCUCGGGGAACUGGUGGAGAAGCUCCGUGAGCUCACUACAGUCACGGAGGAGGUGAGAGGAGCGCGAGAGCUGGCCUGUAGCCCAAUAUCGACGGAGCUCCGAAGCGGCGGGGCCUUAGUUGAUCUUUGUGCUGGAAUGGGGUGGUUGGGGCCUCGAUUGAGGUUCUGAAGGAGAGGUGUGAGAGUGUUGGAGCGAGGGGGGCUAUUUAUAGGCCGGCGACGGUGCACCCUAUGGGUGUGCGCUGGUGGUUUCAUCGCGGCUGUUGGAGAGUGAGAGAGAGCUUGGGGUCGAUACCACGGUUUUGUGGACGUGGUUUGGGACCCCAGAGGCUCAACAAGGGAGAGGGGGGACGUGGCGCGCGCGAGCUGCAUGGCCGUGUUCUUCUCGCUGAAUCUGGAGCGCGCGCGCACGCGUCGCCCUGGUCAGCUGAGAGUGGGAGGAGGGGCCCUGAGGCUGCCCUGAUUCAGGAGGUUGGUCGAGGACACGGAAAGACACCGAUGGGAGGUGGGAACCGACCGGGGCUAGCCACCUUUGCCUCGGGUGCGCCCUGUAGCGCGCCCAGAGCGCAUUUUUGGCAUGCCAAGGCAUGCUGGCGCGCUCUGGGGUGCUUUGGCUGUGUCUCGCGUGUCCAGGGUUUGGGUUAGAUGCUCCUUAGCUGUUUGAGAGCCAAGGGUCUCACUACUGGUCAAAGGAGGUGAUUAAAGAGGAUAUAUUAGUCUUGAGCCAGAAACUAAAAUGCAGAUUUUGGGCUCUUCUGCUUGGAACCAGAGAGGGGCCACUCGUCUGAAGUUGAGCAGUGGUGCUGGCAGCUUGCACUAAGAGUUUGGUGGAAAGGGUGUGGGUGUAGAGGGGGUUAAGUGAUAUUUGACCAAGUUGACAGAACUUGUUCGACAGGUGUUUGGGGUAGUUACCCUCCACCACUGGUGCUGACAGUUAACAAUAUUGGGUUUGAUGCGACAAUAGGAUGCUCCCCCAAAUUUGAGCUCCAUUGGACUAGUUUGACAAUGCAAACUUGAAAUCAUCCCCAGAUGGGCAGUAUUGUCCUUUCAAAAGGGAUUCCUCAUUUGGGGUGUUGAGCACUCCUGUAAAGUUUUAGGCCAUUUGGACAAACUUUGCUAUGUAGAGUUGCUACAACUUGAUUCUGGGCAGAGAGGGUUUUAGGAUUAUUUGGUGAACCAAAUCACCUUGAAAUGAGGUGAAACUUGUCAUGAACACCAAAUAUAGCUUCGGAAGCAUGCUGGAAUUUUCUGGGAAACACACAAGAUAGGUUUUCAAGGAUUUUCUCAAAUAAUGUGAACAUAAAUGGGGGUUGAAAAUAUUAUGUAUGGAAAAUAUAUGUCCCUUGAGUAUGUCCAAAUUUUCUCAGAUUUUUCUAAGGCUAAUCUAGGAAUAUCAUUUCUGGCCUCAGAAAAUGACAUGCAAAUAAAAUAGAAAAACAUUUCAUAAAAUAAUUAUUUUAUGAUUUUGGAGGGUUAAAAUAGUGCUAAAACCAUAUUACCAUCUUUGGGUGAAGGCAGUCCCUUGAAAUUAGGGACUUGUAGUGCAAACCCAAAGCAAGGUUUUGAAAUAGUCAAAAUGAGAAAAAGGGUUUUAUGGAAAUAUCAUGUUAUAAAAAUGUUGUUUCUGGAUCCACUCAUUCAAGCAUACACACAAACAAUGGCAAUCACAGCACUCAUAGCACUUGCUUAAAAAGUUUUAAUAAACUCAGAUUUUUGAAAAAGCUACACUCGAAGUAAGGUAAAAACAAGGUGUGACAAUGCAACACAUCAGUAUCCAGCGGCGCAUCCUACAUCCAUUCCAAAUCAUCGGUUGUGAAGCUGAGGGAACCAAACAAGAUCUCUUCAUCGAGAGUCAUCAUGAUGACCAGAGGAACUGAAUUUCCACUGCGCCGGAACUUACUAGACGCGCAGCCCCUCGGUGGACACUAGUUGUCGAGGGAACGAGCCUCACAAUAGUACCAGGGAUAUGCAUGGAGGGGCGAAGCCUUAUCUACAACGCAAUUGUAACACUCGGAUGUACGAGUUUAGGUCCCACUCAAGAGUGGUAAAGUCCCUACGUCUCAAGCCCAGAGGCUUAGUGUUUCUUAUGGGGGUAUGAAUACACAUGAUGCUUAACCACUGUUCGGGAUCUCAAGGCACGCUUAUACAGAGUGCGCCUGGCUUCACGGUGUACAC